UACGAAGGGGGCUAGCGUUGCUCGGAAUGACUGGGCGUAAAGGGCGCGUAGGCGGUUUGUACAGUCAGGUGUGAAAUUCCUGGGCUCAACCUGGGGGCUGCGUUUGAUACGUGCGGACUUGAGUGCGGAAGAGGGUCGUGGAAUUCCCAGUGUAGAGGUGAAAUUCGUAGAUAUUGGGAAGAACACCGGUGGCGAAGGCGGCGACCUGGUCCGAUACUGACGCUGAGGCGCGAAAGCGUGGGGAGCAAACAGG
rnacentral:rRNA from 1 species